rnacentral:rRNA from 1 species
CGACAAGUGUCGACAUUGUUCAUCGGCGCCGUUCACAUCCGAGUUGGCAUCGUCGGCUUCUGGCCCGCUGACCAGUUGGUUGCGAAUCAUUUGCAGCAUUUGAUAGAAGCUGUACAACGGGAAGCUUGAUGUGACCAUGUUGGACGGUAUGGCGACAAGUGCAUUCGGCUCUUGUGGACUGUUCAGCGCUUCACGCAGUUCACCAACACUGGUUGUCAUAUCGAUCAGUCGACUCGGAACCAUGACCGUGUCUUUCCGCUGGACAGCGGUCAAAAAAUUGUCAAGCGCUUUGACAAUUGAUCUGGUCGUACAUUCACCUUGACUGAGGCACAGAACCUGACCACGACCGCCGUUAUUGUUUAGCCGAUCCAUUGGAAUUGACAACGAUGAUGCGGGCCUUUUCUUUAUUAUCUGUCUAUCUGAGCGAUUCUGCCUGCUUGUUGUUUAAAGUUUAAACUUGCCUCAAGCGCUCGUUGUUUGCUGCUCGUCGUCGGCCAACAGAAACCUCAACUAGCCGUACCAAGCCAAACCGAGCCGUUGACUAUCUGCUUCUCACCGUAGCCGGCGCGAUGCUGCUGAUCUUUCUCUGGUCAAGAUGCUUUUAUCAAUUUUCCUGUUUCGGUUCCGGGGGAAGUAUGGUUGCAAAGCUGAAACUUAAAGGAAUUGACGGAAGGGCACCACCAGGAGUGGAGCCUGCGGCUUAAUUUGACUCAACACGGGAAAACUCACCCGGCCCGGACACUGGAAGGAUUGACAGAUUGACAGCUCUUUCUUGAUUCAGUGGGUAGUGGUGCAUGGCCGUUCUUAGUUGGUGGAGCGAUUUGUCUGGUUAAUUCCGAUAACGAACGAGACUCUACCCUAUUAAAUAGUGACAGUAUUGUAUUUUUUGUGCUGAUCACUUCUUAGAGGGACUGGCAAAUUGAAAGCUGCACGAAAAAGAGCAAUAACAGGUCUGUGAUGCCCUUCGAUGUCCGGGGCUGCACGCGCGCUACAAUGAAAGCGUCAACGUGAGUUACGUCCUUACCUGAAAAGGUUUGGCAAUCGAAUGAAACGUUUUCUUGAAUGGAAUAGGGAAUUGCAAUUGUUUCCCUUGAACGAGGAAUUCCCAGUAAGCGUGAGUCAUUAGCUCGCGUUGAUUACGUCCCUGCCCUUUGUACACACCGCCCGUCGCUACUACCGAUUGGAUGAUUUAGUGAGGUGUUUUGACUGGCGCCAGUAGUCGGAUAUGUAUUCGGCUUCGCGCCGGGAAAUUUCCCAAACCAAAUCAUCUAGAGGAAGUAAAAGUCGUAACAAGGUUUCCGUAGGUGAACCUGCGGAAG